rnacentral:ribozyme from 1 species
AACUGCCAUAGCAGCCAUAGCAGAAGCACUCACGUUGCAGCCCUGUCAGAUUUUAAUGACUCUGUAAAUUAUGCU